UUCCGUGUACGUAUGACAUUUAAAUGCCAAAAUAUAGAGGAAUAGUAUAUUUACCUUGUCUGAAAAGUUCAGUUCAAAAUAUUUAGGCGUUUGGACGUGAACGUCAAAGUCGCUUAUCCGAACACUAGCAUUUUUAUGACGUCUUUUCGUUGGCCACUUGAUAAUUGUGACUAUUCUAUACUGAUUGUUAACUUAAUCGAAUGGUAAAGUAUUUGUAUUUAAUAUUUAUAUGCAUAAAAGUUGUAUUUUAUUUUUAAUUUUAUUGACUGUGAUAUUGUUUUUAUUUAUGCAUAUAAUGUUUUUUUGUGAUAUGAUUUAGCCUGUCUCGUAAUAUUCACCAUAUGUUUGGCGCAAUGUAGCCCGGUUGGAGCUGAUAUGCCAUAAAACCACAUUUCAUUUCAUUUCACCCUGUUGGCGGUAAGCUAUAAUUUGAGAAAGGAAAACUGAUUGGAUGUUUAUUUUUACACAGCCAAUCGCUAUAGUUUACCGGAACAUCAGCCUAAAAUGUGAUUCAAUCGGGUCAAACUGAAAGUUGGGAGUUUGGUGUCUUGUUCAAUUCAUCAUGGAUAACCCUCCAAAACGUCAAAGAGAACGAACAGUCACAGAUAUUGCACAAAAAAGAAGAAAUAGUACAUGCGAGGUUACACAGCAUAGAAAAAGACGAAUGUGUGUAUUUAUGCUGAGAAGUAGCGAGAUGGAAAUUGGAAUGAUUUCAACAAAGCCAACUUCACGAAGACGUUGCCAAUCUGAACUAAUAAAAACUUUUAAACUGGCACACAGGAAAUAUAUUGAGUCAUUCCAUGCCAGUAAGUUCCAGUCCACUGGUUUACCAUGCAAAAUGUUUGUUGGUAGCAGUUGAUUUUAAUUUGCAUACAAAUCGAGAACCACUAAAAGGAGCUGACACAAACAUUAGAUAUAAAAAAAAAUACUCAAAAAGAUCGGAAUAUUGUCAGCAGUACCUUUAAUCUGGGGCAGUCAUACCCAGACCCAGCUGAUCCAACGAGAUAUUGUGAAGAGACAGACCAAAAAAUUUUAAGAAUGUUACAGAAUAUAAUAUAUUCUAACCAAAAUUAAAUACACAAUAUAAAACAGAAAUA